rnacentral:ncRNA from 2 species
CUUUAUCCGUCGGGGGGCCCAUUGGGCUGAGAGGUGCUUGCACCGACCCGUCGAACCUGAUCCGGGCAAUGCCGGCGUAGGGAACGGGUAAUUCGCAUAG